rnacentral:rRNA from 1 species
ACCUUUUUUUCUGUGAUUCAAAAGAAAAAAGUUCAAAAGAAGUUUGUAAUAUAAUGAGUAAAGGUAAAAGGCGCAUAUACAAUAAGAACACCGAUGGAGAAGAAAGGACACUGAGAAGUCACUCACACUGAGGAGAGAAAGCGUGGGGGGCGAACAGU